AUUGAACGCUGGCGGCAUGCUUUACACAUGCAAGUCGAACGGCAGCGCGGGCUUCGGCCUGGCGGCGAGUGGCGAACGGGUGAGUAAUGCAUCGGAACGUGCCCAGUAGUGGGGGAUAGCGCGGCGAAAGCCGGGUUAAUACCGCAUACGACCUGAGGGUGAAAGCGGGGGACCGAAAGGCCUCGCGCUAUUGGAGCGGCCGAUGUCGGAUUAGCUAGUUGGUGGGGUAAAGGCUUACCAAGGCGACGAUCCGUAGCUGGUCUGAGAGGACGACCAGCCACACUGGGACUGAGACACGGCCCAGACUCCUACGGGAGGCAGCAGUGGGGAAUUUUGGACAAUGGGGGCAACCCUGAUCCAGCCAUGCCGCGUGCGGGAAGAAGGUCUUCGGGUUGUAAACCGCUUUUGUUCGGGAAGAAAUCCUCUGGGCUAAUACCCCGGGGGGAUGACGUUACCGGAAGAAUAAGCACCGGCUAACUACGUG
rnacentral:rRNA from 1 species